rnacentral:tRNA from 1 species
CGGAGUGUAGCGCAGCCUGGUAGCGCACUUGUCUGGGGGGCAAGUGGUCAUGGGUUCAAAUCCCGUCACUCCGACCA